GCCCACAUUUAGGUAAACUAUACGAUUUUGUAAGAAAUGCACAUGUUUAAAUAUACAAGGCAAGAUAUACCAUUGUAUAACAUUGCAACCAAAGUCGAGGUUCUUUUUAAGUCUAAAUAUGUGAGCGUACAUGUGUGUGCACACGUGUGCAUGCACAUUCACACAUUUAACAAGAUCUAGAGCUUAGGCUUACAUGAUUUUUUUUUACACAGAAGAUUUUUAUGCAAUGAAUUUUUAUUUUCCUAUUAGCUCAAAAUAUUUUAAUUUAAGGCAAUUUCUUGACAGACAGCCUCCUCCAGUAAAGUUGGAAACUGACACAGGUUCAUUUGCCGUAUUUAAAUAUUUGUGAAAACUGAUUAGGUAUUUGGUGGUUUGUAUGUUUAUAUGUUAUUCUGUCCUUUUCCCAUAUUGUUAAGGAUUCAGCCUUCAUUUCAUGCCUAGCAAUCAGUUUCCUAAAAGCACCGAGCAGCAUGCAACAGACACUCUGCUCAUAUUUACAAAGUGAUGCAUGAAACAUCUGAGGUUGGUGUAAUGUGUCCUGGGAUGUAUACUAAUACCGACUCAGAGGACACUCCAGCACUCCCCUAGAAACCACCGUUUGCCCCCACAUCCAAUGUCAUGUAUUUAAGGCAGGUGGCUUUCUGUUGGUUAAAGAAGUGGUGUAGAUGGAGUGCAGACAUUCACUAAGUCCUUAGCUAUUGCUCUAACAUCAGACUAAAGAGCUCACCCAGGAGACAGUGCCCUCUCUUCACUGAGGAAUAUAUGUUUAUAGAGUGAUAUGUUAGACAGUGAAAAAUGUUGCUGCAUGACGUGAAUUAUUACACUUGUUUGUUUAGGCUGGUGUUAGAAACAUAAUAAAGGUACUAUUUAAUAGACUCGUUACAUGAAAACAAGAGUCGGAAAAGUCUAAGCAGUAUCUCCCUAUACAAGGCACAUUUAAUAAAUGUCUCUGAGUGUCAGCAGCCGAAGAGCCUCGCUGUCUUCCACAGCCCAUUUAUAUAUUGGCACAUCCAGUACUUUGUAGCGGAGGUUUUCCAUUUCUCUCUAAUUCUCAGUGGCUCUGCAUUGUCUUAAAAGUGAUAAUGAUAACAUGGGAAGUUAGGCUGAGUAACUUCAUACCAUUUCCUCAGAAUAUAUUUGACACAAGGAAGAUUUUUUUUUUUAAAUCAAUGGCAUUGUAGUU
rnacentral:lncRNA from 1 species